rnacentral:rRNA from 1 species
UACGUAGGGUCCGAGCGUUGUCCGGAAUUACUGGGCGUAAAGAGCUCGUAGGUGGUUUGUCGCGUUGUUCGUGAAAACUCACAGCUCAACUGUGGGCGUGCGGGCGAUACGGGCAGACUGGAGUACUGCAGGGGAGACUGGAAUUCCUGGUGUAGCGGUGGAAUGCGCAGAUAUCGGGAGGAACACCGGUGGCGAAGGCGGGUCGCUGGGACGGUACUGACGCUGAGACGCGAAAGCGUGGGGAGCAAACAGG